rnacentral:rRNA from 1 species
UUAGAGUUUGAUCAUGGCUCAGAUUGAACGCUGGCGGCAGGCCUAACACAUGCAAGUCGAGCGGUAACAGAAAGUAGCUUGCUACUUUGCUGACGAGCGGCGGACGGGUGAGUAAUGCUUGGGAACAUGCCUUGAGGUGGGGGACAACAGUUGGAAACGACUGCUAAUACCGCAUAAUGUCUACGGACCAAAGGGGGCUUCGGCUCUCGCCUUUAGAUUGGCCCAAGUGGGAUUAGCUAGUUGGUGAGGUAAUGGCUCACCAAGGCGACGAUCCCUAGCUGGUUUGAGAGGAUGAUCAGCCACACUGGGACUGAGACACGGCCCAGACUCCUACGGGAGGCAGCAGUGGGGAAUAUUGCACAAUGGGCGCAAGCCUGAUGCAGCCAUGCCGCGUGUGUGAAGAAGGCCUUCGGGUUGUAAAGCACUUUCAGUCAGGAGGAAAGCGUGGUGGUUAAUACCCAUCAUGUGUGACGUUACUGACAGAAGAAGCACCGGCUAACUCCGUGCCAGCAGCCGCGGUAAUACGGAGGGUGCGAGCGUUAAUCGGAAUUACUGGGCGUAAAGCGUACGCAGGCGGUUUGUUAAGCGAGAUGUGAAAGCCCCGGGCUCAACCUGGGAACUGCAUUUCGAACUGGCAAACUAGAGUGUGAUAGAGGGUGGUAGAAUUUCAGGUGUAGCGGUGAAAUGCGUAGAGAUCUGAAGGAAUACCGAUGGCGAAGGCAGCCACCUGGGUCAACACUGACGCUCAUGUACGAAAGCGUGGGGAGCAAACGGGAUUAGAUACCCCGGUAGUCCACGCCGUAAACGAUGUCUACUAGAAGCUCGGAGCCUCGGGUUCUGUUUUUCAAAGCUAACGCAUUAAGUAGACCGCCUGGGGAGUACGGCCGCAAGGUUAAAACUCAAAUGAAUUGACGGGGGCCCGCACAAGCGGUGGA